AGAGUUUGAUCAUGGCUCAGAUUGAACGCUGGCGGCAGGCCUAACACAUGCAAGUCGAACGGUAACAGGAAGCAGCUUGCUGCUUUGCUGACGAGUGGCGGACGGGUGAGUAAUGUCUGGGAAACUGCCUGAUGGAGGGGGAUAACUACUGGAAACGGUGGCUAAUACCGCAUAACGUCGCAAGACCAAAGAGGGGGACCUUCGGGCCUCUUGCCAUCAGAUGUGCCCAGAUGGGAUUAGCUAGUUGGUGAGGUAACGGCUCACCAAGGCGACGAUCCCUAGCUGGUCUGAGAGGAUGACCAGCCACACUGGAACUGAGACACGGUCCAGACUCCUACGGGAGGCAGCAGUGGGGAAUAUUGCACAAUGGGCGCAAGCCUGAUGCAGCCAUGCCGCGUGUAUGAAGAAGGCCUUCGGGUUGUAAAGUACUUUCAGCGGGGAGGAAGGUGUUGUGGUUAAUAACCACAGCAAUUGACGUUACCCGCAGAAGAAGCACCGGCUAACUCCGUGCCAGCAGCCGCGGUAAUACGGAGGGUGCAAGCGUUAAUCGGAAUUACUGGGCGUAAAGCGCACGCAGGCGGUCUGUCAAGUCGGAUGUGAAAUCCCCGGGCUCAACCUGGGAACUGCAUUCGAAACUGGCAGGCUUGAGUCUUGUAGAGGGGGGUAGAAUUCCAGGUGUAGCGGUGAAAUGCGUAGAGAUCUGGAGGAAUACCGGUGGCGAAGGCGGCCCCCUGGACAAAGACUGACGCUCAGGUGCGAAAGCGUGGGGAGCAAACAGGAUUAGAUACCCUGGUAGUCCACGCCGUAAACGAUGUCUACUUGGAGGUUGUGCCCUUGAGGCGUGGCUUCCGGAGCUAACGCGUUAAGUAGACCGCCUGGGGAGUACGGCCGCAAGGUUAAAACUCAAAUGAAUUGACGGGGGCCCGCACAAGCGGUGGAGCAUGUGGUUUAAUUCGAUGCAACGCGAAGAACCUUACCUGGUCUUGACAUCCACAGAACUUUCCAGAGAUGGAUUGGUGCCUUCGGGAACUGUGAGACAGGUGCUGCAUGGCUGUCGUCAGCUCGUGUUGUGAAAUGUUGGGUUAAGUCCCGCAACGAGCGCAACCCUUAUCCUUUGUUGCCAGCGGUUAGGCCGGGAACUCAAAGGAGACUGCCAGUGAUAAACUGGAGGAAGGUGGGGAUGACGUCAAGUCAUCAUGGCCCUUACGACCAGGGCUACACACGUGCUACAAUGGCGCAUACAAAGAGAAGCGACCUCGCGAGAGCAAGCGGACCUCAUAAAGUGCGUCGUAGUCCGGAUUGGAGUCUGCAACUCGACUCCAUGAAGUCGGAAUCGCUAGUAAUCGUGGAUCAGAAUGCCACGGUGAAUACGUUCCCGGGCCUUGUACACACCGCCCGUCACACCAUGGGAGUGGGUUGCAAAAGAAGUAGGUAGCUUAACCUUCGGGAGGGCGCUUACCACUUUGUGAUUCAUGACUGGGGUGAAGUCGUAACAAGGUAACCGUAGGGGAACCUGCGGUUGGAUCACCUCCUU
rnacentral:rRNA from 1 species